rnacentral:rRNA from 1 species
UACUCCUACGGGAGGCAGCAGUGAGGAAUAUUGGUCAAUGGACGCAAGUCUGAACCAGCCAUGCCGCGUGAAGGAAUAAGGCCCUAUGGGUCGUAAACUUCUUUUGUGGUGGAGCAAUAAGAUCUACGCGUAGGUCGAUGAGAGUACAUCACGAAUAAGCAUCGGCUAACUCCGUGCCAGCAGCCGCGGUAAUAGAGUUUGAUCCUGCCUCAGUGCCAGCAGCCGCGGUA